CCUACGGGAGGCAGCAGUGGGGAAUUUUGGACAAUGGGGGAAACCCUGAUCCAGCCAUGCCGCGUGCGGGAAGAAGGCCUUCGGGUUGUAAACCGCUUUCGGACGGAAAGAAAUCGCACGGACUAAUACUCUGUGUGGAUGACGGUACCGUAAGAAGAAGCACCGGCUAACUACGUGCCAGCAGCCGCGGUAAUACGUAGGGUGCGAGCGUUAAUCGGAAUUACUGGGCGUAAAGCGUGCGCAGGCGGUUAAAGCCACGGGCUUAACCUGGGAACUGCGUUUGGAACUGGGAGACUAGAGUGUGUCAGAGGGAGGUGGAAUUCCGCGUGUAGCAGUGAAAUGCGUAGAUAUGCGGAGGAACACCGAUGGCGAAGGCAGCCUCCUGGGAUAACACUGACGCUCAUGCACGAAAGCGUGGGGAGCAAACAGGAUUAGAUACCCCAGUAGUC
rnacentral:rRNA from 1 species